rnacentral:rRNA from 1 species
AAACCAGCACCUCAAGUGGUCAGGAGGAUUAUUGGGCCUAAAGCAUCCGUAGCCUGUUCUAUAAGUUUCCGGUUAAAUCCACUAGCUCAACUAGUGGGCUGCCGAAAAUACUGUAGAGCUAGGGAGUGGGAGAGGUAGACGGUACUCGGGAGGAAGUGGUAAAAUGCUUUGAUCUCUCGAUGACCACCUGUGGCGAAGGCGGUCUACCAGAACACGUCCGACGGUGAGGGAUGAAAGCUGGGGGAGCAAACCGGAUUAGAAACCCGUGUAGUCC